rnacentral:rRNA from 1 species
CCUACGGGAGGCAGCAGUGAGGAAUAUUGGUCAAUGGACGCAAGUCUGAACCAGCCAUGCCGCUUGCAUUCCGCCUGCUCUCUUCUUUUUCCCCUGCUUUUGUCCUCGGGUCCCCGCCGCUCCGCGUAUCUGUCUGAAAGUAUCGUACGAAUACGGAUCGGCUAACUCCGUGCCAGCCGCCGCGGUAAUACGGCGGAUUCCCGCGUUAUCCGGCUUUAUUGGGUUUAAAGGGUGCGUCGGCGGUCGGCUACGUUAGAGGUGAAAUCCCGAGGCUCAACUUCGGAAUUGCCUCUGAUACUGUUCGGCUAGAGAGUAGUUGCGGUAGGCGGAAUGUAUGGUGUAGCGGUGAAAUGCUUAGAGAUCAUACAGAACACCGAUUGCGAAGGCAGCUUACCAAGCUACUUCUGACGUUGAGGCACGAAAGCGUGGGGAGCAAACAGGAUUAGAUACCCGUGUAGUC